GUAGGUGACCUGCGGAAGGAUCAUUACCGAGUGCGGGCCCCUCGGGGCCCAACCUCCCACCCGUGUUGCCCGAACCUAUGUUGCCUCGGCGGGCCCCGCGCCCGCCGACGGCCCCCCUGAACGCUGUCUGAAGUUGCAGUCUGAGACCUAUAACGAAAUUAGUUAAAACUUUCAACAACGGAUCUCUUGGUUCCGGCAUCGAUGAAGAACGCAGCGAAAUGCGAUAACUAAUGUGAAUUGCAGAAUUCAGUGAAUCAUCGAGUCUUUGAACGCACAUUGCGCCCUCUGGUAUUCCGGAGGGCAUGCCUGUCCGAGCGUCAUUGCUGCCCUCAAGCCCGGCUUGUGUGUUGGGCCCCGUCCCCCCCGCCGGGGGGACGGGCCCGAAAGGCAGCGGCGGCACCGCGUCCGGUCCUCGAGCGUAUGGGGCUUCGUCACCCGCUCUAGUAGGCCCGGCCGGCGCCAGCCGACCCCCAACCUUUAAUUAUCUCAGGUUGACCUCGGAUCAGGUAGGGAUACCCGCUGAACUUAAGCAUAUCAAUAAGCGGAGGAAAAGAAACCAACCGGGAUUGCCCUAGUAACGGCGAGUGAAGCGGCAAGAGCUCAAAUUUGAAAGCU
rnacentral:rRNA from 1 species